UCUCCCCCAAGAUUUUCAAAGUAUUAAGGAGAUUGCCAUUCUUGGCAUGUGCAAAAACCUACACUACAUCAUGUCAAAGCCAUAUUGAUACCCUCUAUGAUGAGCUUGUAGCCAUAGUUAUGACAAUUCUCCCACACUCAAAUUGCUAAACACCCUCAUUGGUAUCCAACCCUUGAUUCAACAAUCCAGUAUCCAUGAUCAGAAUUCUAUUACAAAUCUAGUAACCAUGGUUCUUCAAACUAGAG
rnacentral:lncRNA from 1 species